rnacentral:lncRNA from 1 species
AAUUAAUCUCAUUAAAGAUCAUAAAAUAUUUCAGAAAAUUUUAUGGUUUUCUAUCAAAGGCUGUUAAAAUUAAAUUUCAUCAUAGUCUUUUCAUUUUUGACAAUAGACCAAUGACAUAGCAGACACACACAAGAAUUUAUCUCAUCUCCUUAAAUAUCCAACAUCUAUUAGAUAACAGUAUUGGUAUGAAUUGGGAAUAUUCUGUAUAACAAUAUUCUUCUUUGUUAAACAUCAAUUCUAUAUGUACACUUUCUACUAAUAUUAUGCAAAGUUUGCCAUUGAUGCACAGGGCUGGCGCAAGACAGGUUCAGUGCAUUUGCAGAACCCCGCCUCGCGUUUUGAGAGCCCCGCAGUUUACGAAAAUUACCCAAUUAAAAAAUACUGAUUUUGAUUAACUUUUUACAGAAUGAUGAUACUAUUAACAGAUGCAUGAUGAUUCUGUCAAUAGAAAGUGAAGUAGCAAAUUCAAUCGAUUUUAGUGAUGAUAUCAAAGAUUUGGCGUCAAAAAAAGCGAGAAAAAUUAUUUAAUAUUAUUAUUGGAUUGUAUUAUUAUUUAAUAUUCAUCUUAUAAAAAAUAUAUAAUAUGUAACAGCAUUUGUAAAUAAAUAAUUCCUCGUUGUAAAAUUUAAGUGUAGGAUU